rnacentral:misc_RNA from 1 species
GAUGAAGAACUAGCGAAAUGCGAUAAGUAAUGUGAAUUGCAGAAUUCAGUGAAUCAUCGAAUCUUUGAACGCAUCUUGCGCUCCUUGGUAUUCCUUGGAGCAUGCCUGUUUGAGUAUCAUGAGCAAAUCUCAAAGUCAAUUCCUUUUGUUGAUUCAAUUGGUUUUGCUUUGGACUUGGAGGCCUUGCAGAUUUCACAGUCUGCUCCUCUUAAAUGCAUUAGCUGGAUCUCAGUAAUUAUGCUUGGUUCCACUCGGCGUGAUAAGUAUCACUCGCUGAGGACACUGUUAAAAAGGUGGCCAGGAAAAUACUGAUUGAACCGCUUCUAACGGUCUAUUAAGUUAGACAAUUACCCUUAAGUUUGAUCUCAAAUCAGGUAGGACUACCCGCUGAACUUAAGCAUAUCAAUAAGCGGAGGA